AGACUCAUAGUGUAACGGUUAGCACAAGUGAUUUUGGUUCAUUUAGUCGGGGUUCGAAUCCCUGUGAGUCUA
rnacentral:tRNA from 1 species